rnacentral:rRNA from 1 species
GACGGAGGAUGCAAGUGUUAUCCGGAAUCACUGGGCGUAAAGCGUCUGUAGGUGGUUUAAAAAGUCCCCUGUUAAAAAUUGAAGCUUAACUUCAAAGAUGCCGUGGAAACUUUUAAACUUGAGUAUGAUAGGGGUAGAGGGAAUUUCCAGUGGAGCGGUGAAAUGCGUAGAUAUUGGAAAGACCACCAAUGGCGAAGGCACUCUACUGGACCAUUACUGACACUGAGAGACGAAAGCUAGGGGAGCGAAUGGG